AGAAUCAACGCUGGCGGCGUGCCUAACACAUGCAAGUCGCACGAGAAAGGGACUUCGGUCCUGAGUACAGUGGCGCACGGGUGAGUAACACGUGAAUCAUCUACCUUCGAGUGGGGAAUAACUGAGAGAAAUCUUAGCUAAUACCGCAUAAUACCUACGGGUCAAAGCAGCAAUGCGCUUGAAGAGGAGUUCGCGGCAGAUUAGUUAGUUGGCGGGGUAAUGGCCCACCAAGACGAUGAUCUGUAUCCGGCCUGAGAGGGCGCACGGACACACUGGAACUGAAACACGGUCCAGACUCCUACGGGAGGCAGCAGUGGGGAAUUUUGCGCAAUGGGGGAAACCCUGACGCAGCAACGCCGCGUGGAGGAUGAAAUAUCUUGGUAUGUAAACUCCUUUCGAUGGGGAAGAUAAUGACGGUACCAUAGAAGAAGCCCGGCUAACUCGCGCCAGCAGCCGC
rnacentral:rRNA from 1 species